GCCUUCGUGGUGUAGUGGUCAGCACGCUCGACGCGUAACCGAGAGGUCAGUGGUUCGAUUCCCGGCGAAGGCG
rnacentral:tRNA from 1 species